AUCUAUGACCAGACUUCUAUGAACAUGCCAGGUCUCAUUUGAUCCUGGAAGCUAAGUAGGGUUGGCUAUGCUCGGUCCAUAGAUG
rnacentral:rRNA from 1 species